rnacentral:rRNA from 1 species
UACAGGGGGUGCAAACGUUGCUCGGAAUCAUUGGGCGUAAAGCGCACGUAGGCGGUUCGUUAUGUCGGAUGUGAAAGCCCUUGGCUUAACCGAGGAAGUGCAUCCGAAAACUGGCGAGCUAGAGUACUAAAGAGGAUCGCGGAAUUCCCGGUGUAGAGGUGAAAUUCGUAGAUAUCGGGAGGAACACCAGUGGCGAAGGCGGCGACCUGGACGGACACUGACGCUGAGACGGCGAAAAGCGUGGGGGAGCAAACAGGG